rnacentral:rRNA from 1 species
GACGAACGCUAGCGGCGUGCUUAACACAUGCAAGUCGAACGGAAAGGCCCUGCUUUUGUGGGGUGCUCGAGUGGCGAACGGGUGAGUAACACGUGAGUAACCUGCCCUUGACUUUGGGAUAACUUCAGGAAACUGGGGCUAAUACCGGAUAGGAGCUCCUGCUGCAUGGUGGGGGUUGGAAAGUUUCGGCGGUUGGGGAUGGACUCGCGGCUUAUCAGCUUGUUGGUGGGGUAGUGGCUUACCAAGGCGACGAUGCGUAGCCGACCUGAGAGGGUGAUCGGCCACAUUGGGACUGAGACACGGCCCAG